UACGUAGGGGGGCAAGCGUUGUCCGGAUUUAUUGGGCGUAAAGAGCGUGUAGGCGGCUUUACAGGUCCGUUGUGAAAACUCGAGGCUCAACCUCGAGACGCCGGUGGAAACCGUAAAGCUAGAGUCCGGAAGAGGAGAGUGGAAUUCCUGGUGUAGCGGUGAAAUGCGCAGAUAUCAGGAAGAACACCCGUGGCGAAGGCGGCUCUCUGGGACGGUACUGACGCUGAGACGCGAAAGCGUGGGGAGCGAACAGG
rnacentral:rRNA from 1 species